rnacentral:rRNA from 1 species
UACAGAGGUGGCAAGCGUUGCUCGGUAUCACUGGGCUUAAAGGGCGCGUAGGCGGUGCGGUGCGGUUUCGGUGAAAUCCCUCGGCCCAACCGAGGAACAGCCGGGGCUACGGCCGCGCUAGACGGCAUCAGGGGACAGUGGAACUCCCGGUGGAGCGGUGAAAUGCGUAGAUAUCGGGAGGAACGCCGGUGGCGAAAGCG